rnacentral:rRNA from 1 species
UGGGGAAUAUUGGACAAUGGGGGAAACCCUGAUCCAGCAAUGCCGCGUGAGUGAUGAAGGCCUUCGGGUUGUAAAGCUCUUUUAGCAGGGAAGAUAAUGACGGUACCUGCAGAAUAAGCACCGGCUAACUCUGUGCCAGCAGCCGCGGUAAUACAGAGGGUGCUAGCGUUGUUCGGAAUUACUGGGCGUAAAGGGCGCGUAGGCGGUUUACUAAGUCAAACGUGAAAGCCCCGGGCUUAACCUGGGAACUGCGUUUGAUACUGGUAGGCUAGAGAACGGAAGAGGAAAGUGGAAUUCCUAGUGUAGAGGUGAAAUUCGUAGAUAUUAGGAGGAACACCAGAGGCGAAGGCGGCUUUCUGGACCGAUUCUGACGCUGAGGCGCGAAAGCGUGGGGAGCGAA